AGAUAAUUAUGUAAAAGCCGCUAACUUUUUAAAAACGAGUAAAACCGUUAUUAUCUU
rnacentral:tRNA from 1 species